CAAUAGCGUAUAUUUAAGUUGCUGCAGUUAAAAAGCUCGUAGUUGGAUUUCGGGUGGGAAUGGCCGGUCCGCCGUUUCGGUGUGCACUUGCUACGCCCACCUUGCUGCCGGGGACGUGCUCUUGAGUUCACGCUCGGGACACGGAGUCGGCGAGGUUACUUUGAGUAAAUUAGAGUGUUCAAAGCAGGCCUACGCUCUGAAUACAUUAGCAUGGAAUAACACGAUAGGACUCUGGCCUAUCUUGUUGGUCUGUAGGACCGGAGUAAUGAUUAAGAGGGACAGUCGGGGGCAUUCGUAUUUCAUUGUCAGAGGUGAAAUUCUUGGAUUUAUGAAAGACGAACUACUGCGAAAGCAUUUGCCAAGUACGUUCCCAUUAA
rnacentral:rRNA from 1 species